GUGCUCGCUUCAGCAGCACAUAUAUUAAAAUUGGAACGAUACACAGAAGAUUAGCAAGGCCCUUGCACAAGAAUGACACGCAAAGUCGUGAAGCGUUCCAUAUUUUU
ensembl:snRNA U6 U6 spliceosomal RNA